AGGGCAUCUGAUUGCAAUUAAAGUUCCGACGGUAUAUGAUUGGUGUGCGUUUGAUUAGCUAGUUGGUAGGGUAACGGCCUACCAAGGCGACGAUCAAUAGCUGGCGUGAGAGCGCGACCAGCCACACUGGAACUGAGACACGGUCCAGACUCCUACGGGAGGCAGCAGUAGGGAAUAUUGGACAAAUGGGCGAAAGCCUGAUCCAGCCAUGCCGCGUGAUAGAUGAAGGCCCUCUGGGUUGUAAAUAUCUUUUAUCUGGGAAGAAACUCCUCUAUUCUUAGAGGCCUGACGGUACCAGAGGAAUAAGCACCGGCUAACUCCGUG
rnacentral:rRNA from 1 species